AUUGAACGCUGGCGGCAGGCCUAACACAUGCAAGUCGAACGAGUGGCGGACGGGUGAGUAAUGUCUGGGAAACUGCCCGCUGGCGUGGGUUAACUACUGGAAACGGUCGCUAAUUCCUCAUACCAUCGGAUGUGCCCAGAUGGGCUUGGCUAGUUGGUGGGGUAAAGGCUCAACUAGGCGACGAUCCCUCGCUGGUCUGAGAGGAUGACAAGGCACACGGGAACAGAGACACGGUCCAGACUCCUACGGUAGGCAGCAGGGGGGAAUAUGGCACAAUGGGCGCAAGCCUGAUGCAGCCAUGCCGCGUGUAUGAAGAAGGCCUGCGGGUUGUAAAGUACUUUAAGCGGGGAGGCGUUACCCGCAGAAGAAGCACCGGCUAACUCCGUGCCAGCAGCCGCGGUAAUAC
rnacentral:rRNA from 1 species